rnacentral:rRNA from 1 species
GAUGAACGCUGGCGGCGUGCCUAAUACAUGCAAGUCGAGCGAACAGACGAGGAGCUUGCUCCUCUGACGUUAGCGGCGGACGGGUGAGUAACACGUGGAUAACCUACCUAUAAGACUGGGAUAACUUCGGGAGACCGGAGCUAAUACCGGAUAAUAUAUUGAACCGCAUGGUUCAAUAGUGAAAGACGGUUUUGCUGUCACUUAUAGAUGGAUCCGCGCCGCAUUAGCUAGUUGGUAAGGUAACGGCUUACCAAGGCAACGAUGCGUAGCCGACCUGAGAGGGGGCGCCGCCCCACUGGAACCGGGGACCCGGCCAGACUCCCACGGGAGGCAGGCAGAGGGAAUUCUCCGCAAUGGGCGAAAGGCUGGCGGAGGAACCCCGGGUGAGGGAAGAAGGUUCUCGGAUCGUAAAACCCUUUUAUUAGGGAAAAACAAAUGGUGAAGGAACUAAGCAACUUUUGGCGGGUCCCAAUCAGGAAGCCCAGGGUAACGACC